AGGAAGACAGGAAGAAAAGUUGGUGGGAGGAGGAGGAGGAGACACCAGAGGGGUCGGCUCGGGUUUCAGGUGUUUGGGGCCACCUCAUAUGAGAUGCUUGAAACAGUUGGAAACGAGGGCUGUGACUCAGGCGACGGGUCAGCCUGCUGACAGAUUUGGGAGGCUGCUGCACGGAAGGGGAAUUUGAAACAUGGGCUGGAUCAGCACGGAGGAUUGGGCAGGGAGAAGGCCAAGGCUCAAGUGGAGAAACAGCCAUCAAAAUUAAAGUAGGAAGGAGGGAAGAGCCAGCAAAGGGGGUGGUGAGCGGUGAUAGGAAGACAGCAAGCCAGGCACAGCGGUCAGGGACAUCAGUGAUGACCAAGAAGCGGCCUCCAGGAGAGGCAGAUGUUACAGGUGCCUUUCCCCGUGACGUCUGGAGGAAAUACUGGCUUGUAACCUCGCAGGCCACUGGACCCCUUGAGUCUCAAUUUCUUUGAGUCAAAUUGGGGUCAUUUUCUGUCCUACCAGCCCCAUCUGCCCUUGUGUGACGAUCAAGUAAGAUAAGUGUAAAACCACCGGCCAUCUGCUCCAUUCCAGCUGUAACAGGAACUAGACUGUGGACAGUGUUGAUGUGAGGCCUCCAGGGAAGAGGAUUAAAGUAUAUCGGAGCUCUUGUUCCUUUGUUCAGGCUUGACACAGUCUCCUUUGUCACCAGUCGAUGAAAAACCACCCGAAGAAGUAUGUGCAUGGUCCAGAACACGGGCUCUGGAGUUCCUGUGUGACUUUGGACGAGUUGAUCACCUUAAACCUCUACUGCUCAUUUGUGAAGAAGAGAGAAUUAGCAACACCUGUCCAAGGAUUUCGAGGAUUCGCAACAAUCCACGGUUCAACAAGGGUGCACAGAGACCCAAGAGUGUGGAAGAGGAAGCCAUAGAGUGAUGGAAUAAAUAACUGGUUUCCUUGAAAAUGAAUGACAAAGUCAUUUGGUACAUUUUCCCUCCUUUUUUUAGCACUAAGUUCAUUGACCUGACUACUCAGAAAAAAUUAAAACAUGAUGAUAUCAA